GACGAACGCUGGCGGCGUGCCUAACACAUGCAAGUCGAACGGAUUUAAACCUUCGGGUUUAAGUUAGUGGCGGACGGGUGAGUAACGCGUGAGUAACCUGCCUUUGAGAGUGGAAUAACAGUCUGAAAAGACUGCUAAUACCGCAUAAUGUACUUUAACCGCAUGGAUUUAGUACCAAAGAUUUAUCGCUCAAAGAUGGACUCGCGUCCGAUUAGAUAGUUGGUGAGGUAACGGCUCACCAAGUCGACGAUCGGUAGCCGGACUGAGAGGUUGAACGGCCACAUUGGGACUGAGACACGGCCCAG
rnacentral:rRNA from 1 species